UGGGGAAUAUUGCACAAUGGGCGCAAGCCUGAUGCAGCCAUGCUGCGUGUAUGAAGAAGGCCUUCGGGUUGUAAAGUACUUUCAGUCGGGAGGAAGGUGUCAAGGUUAAUAACCUUGGCAAUUGACGUUACCGACAGAAGAAGCACCGGCUAACUCCGUGCCAGCAGCCGCGGUAAUACGGAGGGUGCAAGCGUUAAUCGGAAUUACUGGGCGUAAAGCGCACGCAGGCGGUUGAUUGAGUCAGAUGUGAAAUCCCCGGGCUUAACCCGGGAAUUGCAUCUGAUACUGGUCAGCUAGAGUCUUGUAGAGGGGGGUAGAAUUCCAUGUGUAGCGGUGAAAUGAGUAGAGAUGUGGAGGAAUACCGGUGGCGAAGGCGGCCCCCUGGACAAAGACUGACGCUCAGGUGCGAAAGCGUGGGGAGCAAACAGG
rnacentral:rRNA from 1 species